CAGGGUAAGAGACGAGAGUCUUUUAAAAGCUGCUCCCCCCUGCCCUUUCACAGCGCCAGGAAUAGUUCAGAGUUUCUUUUCAAAGCGCUCAGUUUCUCCCUACAUGCCAUCUACAUUCUACUAAUUUAAAUCAGAGGGGCAGACGAAAACACACGUGGUUCUCGACAGCCUCCCUGUCACAAGCCGGAGCAGAGGAGCGUGCUACGCGGAGGAGCUACCCGGACAAAACAGGGCUGGAACAGGCACACUCCGGCUGCGGAGCAGCUGGUGGCUGGUCCCGCUGCCGUGCCUUGCUCCACACGCUCACCAGCACUGUGCUGUUGGACAAGGGAAGUCGGGGAGCCGUGGGCUGUUCCCGCUCGGGAGAACGUGGCACGGGUCUCCGGAGCCGGCGGAGGCCAGCCUGCCCCCCCAGCAGAGCGUGCCAACGUAACUCGAGGCGAAACAGCGGGUCCGCGGGCUCCCCCGCUUCCCACCUCUGCUCUGGACUCGUCUCCAAAGCAGUCAAAAUGAUUUAGUAAGAUUAACGUUAAAUUCUGACCCCACCUUCAGUGCAAAUCUGAACUGGAUAGAAAAUGCUGGCACACAUCUUUAGAAUCCAGGUGGAAGCCUGACCUUCCUCGCGUCAAUGGCAAGUUUUACUUCCGAAUUCAAACAGCACUAAGUUUUCACCAAGGAGUUCACAGGGAUUCAAAAUUAAGGCGCAGGGUCCCUGGUACAGCCCAGGACGCCUCAGUAACGCGUCUCUGAAUGCAGUGGACUUUCGUCUAAGUCAGACCUACUGAAGCUUGCCUCGAUUUCAGUACAAGGAACAACUUCAAGAGUGUCAGUGUGUGGCUGCAGAAAAUGCAAAAAGCAGCUGACAGAGAAUACAGAAGCAGUGGACCACAGCAGGAGGGAAAGCUGCUUUAUUGUUAACUCAAGUUAUUUCCUGGCCAAAGGAUGAAUCAUACAGGAUCAACUAGUCAUGCCAAAUACAAAUGUACUGAGAGGGCUACUAAAUGAGCGAUUAGCCCAUGAGCUUCACAGAGAGACACCUUGAAGUCCCUUCAGCAAAAUACGCUGGAAGUACUUGAGACAAGUCAUCUGUAUGGGAUCUGAAAUCCAAAUACCAGGACGAAGAGAGAGAGCGAUGAACAGUAGAUUCUCAAGAGACAGUGCGCCCUUGCUGCCUUAUUAGUUAUCCUCCAAAUGGUUUAAUUAAAUAGCCUUGCAGGAGA